CACAUCGGAUGAAAAACGACGGCACGUCCGACGACCGAGAGCCCUUGAAAACCAGCUGCAGUCAUAACCGCUUUACAACGCAGUUGCAAAGUUAUCGUCCGAAGGGUGCAGGGACAGGCUCUGCAUGAUGAAGGAAGUUUCUCUCCUGGACAAUAUUCACGAACAUCCGAAGGGAACAAGAAAGCCAGGGACAUGAGGCUGUCUUAGGUCGGCAGAAGAGAGAAAAGGUCCAAGGCUCAAGGACGAGAAAGAGGCGUUUCUGUUCCGCCGGACAGAUGAGCAAGACGCGGGAAGCUUUCUCCGUUCUGGACGAUCCGUUUCGACUCGCGCGACUUGGAUAUUGGCGCAAUUCGUGCUGAUGCUCUCGAAACGCUGACCGCGUUUAUGGACGUCAUUGCGUUUUACGACAGUACCUUACGCGUGACGCACGCGGAGUUGCACGCGAAGGUGCACGCGCAGGUUUACAUCCUCGUGAACGUCGUAGAAGCGGUAUUUUACGACAAGACGAAUGAGGUAACGUCCGGAGCGACAUGGAGCAUUUCUGAACACCCGAUAUGAGAAAAAAGAUAUUUUACACGAAGAUCGUGCAAAGAUAUUUUAUGUAAGGAGUAAUUUCCGUUGCCCAGAAAAUUGAUAUUCAGUCAAUGUAUUAUAAAUAAACAUUUUACUAAUAAGUGGUUUUAUGAUUCAUCGAGUGAAUUAAUGGCACUCGCAACUUCAGCAGAAACGAAUAAUCGAAACACUGAAUUCGGACGGUGCACGAUCGCCAACAUUAACAGUUACUGCUGAACUUUAUCGACAUUACGUGCAUCGAUUUCAUCACGAUGGAUUUCAAAAGGAAAGUUAAUCUGGUUGAUACGCAAUAUAACUUUAUACAAGUAGAGUGAAAGAUAUAUUUGAAAGUGCAGAAACGAAUAAUCGAAACGCUGAAUUCGGACGGUGCACUCGCCAACAUUAUAACAGUUAUUGUUGAACUUUAUCGACGUGAUGUGCAUCGAUUUCAUCACGAUGGAUUUCAAAGGGAAAGUUAAUCUGGUUGAUGUAUAACUUAUAUACGCAAUAUAACUUUAUACAAGAGUGAAAGAUAUACUUGAAAGUGUAACAUAAAAACUACAACUACUUCAAUUAUGCAAAGAUUAAUUUUUAAGUGCUGUAUAACUCGAAAAAAUUGUUUGUCCUGAAGUUGUGCGCGUGUAUAGCCGUCAAAGUCGGUUCUGCGAGUUGUAGCCGUCAGUGUCAGCAACUCAUAGCUAUGCAAGAGCGUACAGAACUAUGAUUACGAACAUCAGUAGUACAGCGCGUAGUUCUUCUUUAUUUCUCACGGUAUUUCUUAGAAUCUCUUAUUUAUGAUUGAUCAAAAACCUAUGAUUAAACCAAAAAAAUUGAACUAAAAUACUUUUAUGUGUUUCGCCGCACUAAACAAAAGUUUCGCAUCGGGUUCAUUUCAUUCACAUGACCCAUUGAUGAGCAAAAUGCGCUGUGCUAAGUGACCGUUAGACAAACAUCAAAGUUCAUGCUUAGUGAGCGAGCAUUGCGAAGUCGAAGCCCCUUGACCCGCCUAAGCGUGCAAGACGAAUCACCGGAGUUCCUCACUCUGCAGACUACGCAUAUGUCACCUCUGCCUAUGUAGUCGCUGGCCUCAUAGGUGGAUGAUUGAGGCGAGAAGAGGGAGGGACGCGGGGACAGAUUACGUAACGUCGAAGACGCCGGCCAAUGCGACGAGUACCAAGAAGAAGCCCCGCUUCUUCCUUGGCUUGAACAACCGUUGGCAUCCGAGGUACCAUAUCCUCAGAACGGAAAGGUUACUCUCCUGUCUGCUCGCACGCUCCGCACCCACUACUACCGCUUUAUCCGCCGCUCUGGUGGCUACCACUCUUCACGUACCACGUUCUCAGAUUAUCCGCGAUAAGGUACCGUUUCCUCGCUCUCUCGUUGAGCACCGAUCACCAUAAAUUUUUCUCGCGACGCCGGGAGCCCACGCGGAAUUAAACGUAGGACGAGCACGACCGUGAUCGAAGUCACACGGAUCUGUUUUCGUUAAGUGAAUCACUCUUCUUAAAACAAUCAAUCGUCUAUGAAUCUCAAAAUGAGUCUUCAUUGUAAAUAUAUCGUUUAUUUUGUACACGUUUAUGCAAGACUAUUUUAGGGCAAAUAACUAAUAUAGUAAUAAAAUGAGUAUGUUUUCAUGUAGUUAGAUUAAUCAUUAAUGUAUAAUCAAAGUUUUACUAUUUUGAGGAAAGCGAACAUUUUGUGGAGUAACGCGUUUUUGGAACUCACUAAUCCAGAUAAUUUCUUUGAGCACAAACGUCAAUUUUAACGGGAUUAAGAGGCGUAUAACAAGUUAAUCAGAUGCGCCGCGAUGAAAUGCAUGAAUGGUGUGUAGGUACUAAUCGACUAUUUUGAAUACGCUUCUCUCUUCAAUGCGAAACGUUCCAAUACGUAUGUCACGAUGCGUGAAUCCUUUCCGUUUCAAUUUUUUUUGACAAAAGCCAAUUUGCCGACGGGACACAAUGGUAUCUGCUUCCAUGGAAUGCCAUACAAAUCAUAGAAGCUUACGACACAAUGCAACGCCAUGGUGUGGCAUCCCCAUUUUUCGUAGCGAACAAAACUUUCUGCAGCUGUCUACUGAACGAGACGUUUAAUUUCCAAGACUGUACAUCUUACUCGUAAAAACUAAUAAUUAUAAAUAAUAAUAAAUUUGUUUAUACCUCGAUAUUUGUAAAUCUAAAAACUUACGAAUGAAGAAUUUUUAAUAUAUAAAAUUUUUAUUUUUUGUUUGUAAUCGUGAAUUUAAAUAAGCAAUAGAAAACGUAGUUACAUGAUGUAAUAUGUAAACUUCCCCUGAUAUUUGAGAUUCUGAUACUAAAAUUCACUGAUUUACCUCAAAAAUGCGAUCGAGUUGGAUUUUGGAGUCGCUGAAUUAUUAAAAUUCUUACCAGCACGUAAAAAGAGUGACAGAAUUGGAGUUUAACCAGGUCAUUAGCUAAUAGGGGUCGAAUAAGAUAUCCAUUAUUGAAAUAUUUGCAAGGAGAAGAGAGAUUGUACAUGUACAACAAGAGAAAGAAGUUACAAAAUUGCCAAACAAACGUCAAGAAAUAAAAUAUUCCGACAUCGCCGAUACCUUUGGAUUGUAAUCCAAUAUUCCCCGUGACUAUGUCAUCGAUCCGGACCUCAAAACCUAGAUUUCAAAAUAAUUUUACCGAACUCAAUUAAUGCAUCCUAAGAUUAGCGUAUUGUUUCUCUCACUCUCCUUCUCUUUCUCUUUCUCUCAUGUUAUCUCUCAUUUUCUUUUUUUUACGCUAUUUGUUUCGCCGUUCUUCUGUACCCGAUUAAAUCAAGUGACCAAACGAUCUUGGAGUUAUCUCCAAGAAAAUCAGAGUUAUUGUAUUAUAUUUUGAGAAUUAUAAUUUCAAUCAUAUAAGAAUUAUAUGGUUAAUUUAAUUAGAUGUUUAAAAGUUCCUGGCAUUUCCAAUGCAGUUGUAUCUCCCCCAUCUACAGAGUUUUCUAACGAUACAUUAAAUUUUCGUUUCACUUUUUCGUCAUACACUGCAAUAAUAUCUUAUCUCCUCACUCUAUUACGUAUUGCGUCUUGCUGUACAAUCGGUCGAUCGAACGAUCUUAUCGUAAAUAACGCGAAGAAUAUAUUCUUAUCUCACGAGCAUCAUCGGGUGUCGUAAAAUUUUGAUCGCCUCUGUACAUAGCGUGUAAUAAUAGUCCACCGAUGGCCAUGUGUACGUGUGUGAUUUGACAAUAGAAUCGAACGGCACCGUCGUUUCCGCGCGAGCAUGUACGUCCGUUAAUGUGCGCGACACGGUAAUACGCCCACUCGGUACAGUCCCACGGCAAAAUGCCGCACGGCGAGCGGCGGUGUAUAUCGGAAAAUGUUUUCCACAUAGUUCCGUCGGCGGUGAGACUGGGUCACACGUAUGCAGCUCUCGUUGGUGUGUGCACGCGUAUCCACGACCGGCUGGCGCGUUCACGGUGUACUCCCAGGUAUUUAUUUAUCGCCGGCCAUAUCUGCCCUUGCGAACUUCACGGGCAAACACGGAGGUAACCGCGGACGGCGAUGCAUAAAAAUGCGGAGCGGCGUUGGUCUGGAUGACGCUGGAUCGCUCUCGCAAUCCGUCUUUGGGGCAGGUGCACACACGCGCGUACGUAUAACAUUUGUUCGUUUGUGCUUGUCGCGUUGACCGCUGCUCAGUGAGGGUGGUACAUGCGCGCAGUAUCGAUGGCACUUUUUUCAACUAUCCUAGCGACGACGCAAUUUGCGACUUGCGCGAUGCGCUUACGAUCGAUCGCAUUUUCCAAGCGCGACCCUCGACGCCCGUUCGCUCGCGGUCUGCGCCUCUGAUAAUCCGACUUCGCCGUAAUCACACGGCAGUUAUCUUCUGCGACGGUUCCAAAUGUCGACCAACCGGUUCGAUUGACUGCGAUGCUAACAAAAAUACGUUACCGGGAGAGAUUGUAAUCUCGCGAUAGCCCGUGCAAUGAUUAAAGCAGCGCGUUGCCCCUUCUGUUUAUUUGUAAAUCGUUGCAACGCUUUUCCGGAAUGAAGCGGUGUUAAGUCGACCGACGUGCUUGCACAUCGAAAAACGCGAUAAUGUUGUUGUGGAAACAUUAUGCAGAGAAAAUAUCGUAGAUCCCCGCCGAUUUUUCAUUCCCUGCAACAUGCGAACUCACGAAAUGAUCAAUUGCUGGUGUCUGUUUUCGUUUCAUCAAACUCGGAGAUGACGGCGGGAAAUUCCCGCGAUCUCCCACCCCAUCCCAUUCGACCAUAGUACCGGUAUAUGAACUCGAGCGAAGCGGGGGCCCCCCGGUCUCAUCUCCGGACGACGCGCGCGUGCAAAACCGGAAUCUCCCCCCCGCCCCCUUCGGGACCGGAGGGAGCGAACGAAACGCGCGCGUCGGCUGGCCAGCCGCCUCCCGCCGAUAUAUUUCGAUACGUAAAUAAAUACAAGGUCGACCGGCGAGCACAUUUCUGGGAUAGAAAGGGAUCGGGAACUCUACCCGCGCAUAAUUGGUACGGAGAAGCUAUUGACCGCAGCAUAGCGCGUUCGUGCGAUCACGCGUUGGCCGAAAGUUUCGCGACGCUAGGCGGCGACAGUGGCGGCGGCGUCGACGGAACGCGUGCGAGGCGUUCCAGGGUUCACACUCGGCAACGUCGCCAUAUAUCGACCCAGCUGUCGCUGUGGGGAAAAGGACUGGGGCACCGGCCCCAUGGUACCCACGAAAUUCAACUCAUUCGUUACCGUAUCACGACUUCGCCGAUCGUCCAUAGUUUCUAAACGACGUUUUUGCGAGAAAUAUAGUGGACGAUAAAUAUUUCGUUUGUAACAUGUUAGGCGAACUUCUAGUUCACGGUUCUUCGAUUCUUCCCGUUAUAACUUCUUUGACUUUGAAAUAUACACAACAAAUGGGUCUAUAUAUGUGUACUAAUCUUUAAUUAUAUACAAGAAAUGGAUAAAUGUUGACCGAGUUAUUACUUAUAAGGAAUAUAAUUAUUUAUCAGAAAUAGUUCAAAAAUGCGUGCAUUCAAAGCUUUAUUAUAUUUAUUACUACUUUCUAAUAUUUUUUUCGGAAUUCGUAAAAUUGUAAAAGUGACGUUUUCUCAGCGAUAUCGGUACGUCGAGAUUCUGCGUGAUGACGACCGCGUGACGUCGAGAUGCGGAAUUUACAUUUCUAUUAAACGGCGGAACCACAUUUUGCGACAUUAAUUCUUAAAGUACAGAUCUAUAGCGCGAUAUCCACGCGUUCUAUUUUGGUGGAAGUCGAGGUGAAAUGGCCGAGAAACGAUUCGCGACCCCAGCACCCACUAUCGCCACCCCAUACGAGCCGACCAAUCCCCCUGGCUAGGAUGGUGCGGGGCAGGAGGGAGGGAGAAGAGGGGACGAACCCAACCCCAACUCGCGGAGUGACGAGUCACCCUGGGUGCUUGGCGCACGCGGGGAUUCCCCACUGUGUCCAUCUUGCUUCCGCCUCCCCCUCGCUCAUUCUCUUUCAUUCUCCCACCCUCCGCGAGAUCGCAACCCUUCUUCUCUCCCAUUUAAAUCCUCUCAUCCUCCGUACCCCUUUCCCGCGCUAUCAUGAUCUCUCUUUCUCCCGGUUCCUCUUUCACUCGGGAAAUCUCCCCCUCGGCACAUCCCUUCACCACCGUUGCCACCACCCCAGCAUCACCAACACUACCCGACAGCGUUCUCCCUCCAUCCCGAUGGAACCUCCAACCAGCACACGAGCGGUCUCCGGCGACGACCGGUAGACUGCUGGGCAUUCCCCUCUCAUCCUCGCUCUCUCUACGCGAAUUCCCUAUCUCUCUGUCUCCCUCUCGUCUUUUCUAGCUACAUCGCACGACCGGUAUAUAUGCCCUCGUCACUUUUUGCUCCCAUCUCUGCCCUUUUCGUUCCUUGAUCGGGUUCUCUCCCCUUCUUCCUUAUUUCUUGUCCUCGCCCCUCGUUUCCCGCUCUCUGUCUCUCCUACUCAACGACGUAUCCGAUGGUGAGUAAUGGAUUGAAUUCGGUACAAGUUUCAUUCGGAUAAAAUUCUGAUCUCGACUGUGCUUAGUUCAGCUCGCAAGGAGAUGCGCCUACUUUCUUGGCACGAGCGUAGGUGGAGGUGACGUCAAAUGGACUAAGUAAAUAAGCCAAGAGUUAGUCCGCCGCGACUACAGCCUCUUGUGCUCCUCGAGUUGUCUGAUUAGCUCCUUUUCUACGCACAAUUGAACGAAUCAGUUCAAUUAACGCGCCGUCAUCGACUCUUUUUCGGGUUUUUCUCACGUACUCUCGAAAGUUUUUGGAGUGAAAAUCUGGCCCAUUUUCACUUUAAUCAUGGAGUUACUGACCAGUUCAUUCCUAUAGAGUAAAUAUUCACGCCAAUAGAGUGAAUUCAUUCACUUUAAGAUAAAAAGUGAAGAGUUUCACUCUUAUUUUUAAAGUGAAGUCGUUAGAGCUUCAAACUUUGCACUAACUUAGAGUGAAAUCUUUCCCGUUUCUGUUCAGAAGGUUUUAGGAUACCACAUAGGCUGCGUUCAGAAGACGAAGCUGAUCAAUGAACGCUCAAUAAUUUUUCAUUAUGAUUGGUUUCUGCAACGAAUCUAAAGGCAAGAACUAAUUAUAUUAAAAAAUCACUGAGCGCUCACUGAUUAGCUUUGCUUUGUGAAAUAUGACACUUUUUUUAGAGUUGAAGACUCAUUUCAAGUAAGAGUGAAUAACUUCACUUUUUCAAAAAGAUGAAAUUUCACUCAUUUCGACUGGUAUUUUCAUUAUUUCUUGAAGUGACAUCUCACUCCAAAAGAGUGAGAUUCUCCAAGAAAUUUAUAGAGUAACUUCGCAAUAAACAAAUCCUCCAAAAUAUUCCAAUUAUUUGUCGUAGGAAGAGGGAAAAGAAGUGGCAUUUCAAGACCCGGGAAGAGCACGCGGGACGGCGUGCCAAUGAAAACUCGCGUAUUCAAAAAUCGCGACGAGAAUGCGAGGAACUGUUGGCUCUUGGCCAGAUCGCUCUUCUCUGUCCCGCGAAUCCUUCAACGGAAAUUGACGCUGGUGUGGCAGAAUUAAUGCUCGUGCGGCAAGGAACUUUGACUGUGACCAGCACUGAAGUGACUCACUCGCUCGCUCUGACUCGCCAAGCUGAUCGACCGAUCGGGUACCUGGUACCCCGAGGCACGUCUGCCACUUUUAUCGCCGGGGCAUCGCGCGGCAAUUUUCUUGGUGCACUAUUGGUGUACACUGCCGCCAGCACCGCCAUCGCGUACGUAGCAGACGAAAAUUGCCGGUAAUACUGGCUCUGCGUCUCGUUUGAUCGCGAAGGAACACGAAAUCGCCGCGAAUGACCACUCGUUUAAGCAACAAAACCAAAUCGACGCUACACACCCCCGAAAUUCUUAAAGAUCAAAUGUCGAAGUUUGUUAAAUUUUAUUAGAUAUACAUCAUUUAAUUCAAUUUGAACAACAUACCUCAUCUUAUGCACAGAAAAAAUAUACGAGCGCAAGAUAAACAAGAAUAACAUCUCGGCUGAGAUGUAAGAGGAUACAUUAUUCAAACUUGCCAGGUAAAAAUAUUAUUUUUAACGCAAUAUGCUAUAUGUAAUAAGAUGUUCUUUCUACACACGAGCCUGUUUUUCUCGUGGGAAUUGCGUAAAAUGACACAACGUUGAUCUUGUAUCUCGUAUAUAUGUUUUACGCUCUGACUCAAAUGCACUAGUAUGAAUUGCACGUCGUCUGCUUGCAACAUUCUGACAAUAUGCUUGUUGUGAAUUAUAGGCAAAGUAAAAUCUUAGUAGUGGUAUUUUUAAUAAUCAUGUUAAUAAUCCUUAAAAAAUUACAUUACAUUUUCUUUACAAAACGGGCCUGCUAGUCAAGUGGCUGUAACGAAUGAGCAAUAUAGCUUUCAGAAGGAAAUAUAAAGUCGUAUCAUAAUCGAGACCGUACCGUAAUCGAGACGAUAUAUGUUGUUUCUCAUUCACUAUUGGUCUGUUUAUCUCUUUCUUCGUAUAAUAAUGUAAAGCUUUGUCACAGCUAGAGUCCAGCUGUGAAAUAUUAUUUUACUUGUAUGUAUCAUAAUCUUGUUUUAUGUUUUCAAAUAUACCUAUAUUAUUUCAGAAUGAAGAUAAUAAAAGGAUUCCACUUGUAUUGACACGUGAGAUGCAAAAUGAUUCUUUUAUAUAAUAAUGUAUAGUGUAUAGUGUAAAUAUAUAUAGUAUUAUAUUAUGCAUCGAAUACGCGUUGAAACGUUUCGCUUCUGAUUAAAAAUUUCUUUAUAAUUUCUUUCCAACAUCAUUUGUCACUUCAACACUGAAUGUAAAUCGUGCAAAGACGAAACGAAGAAUCAGAGAAUUUUGUUUUGAGCGUGAACCAAGCCUAAAUGUAUAAAAAAAAAAUUUUUUUAAUUAAAACAAGAAAUCUAAAUAAUAAUAAAAAUCAGAAAAACAUUUAUCAGUUAUCCAUGUGUUAAAUAAACGAAUUAACAACUUGACAUGUAGAAAAUAACUUUGUUUUAUACGUCGUUACUUGGAACAAGACCGACAUCGUUAUGUGACACGAUGUUGUGGCGAGAAAAACACAUGUACAGAUUUAAUAUACUAAUAAAGAAUACUGGUUUAGUAAAUUGGUCGUUCCGAGGUAUCGGAUACGACGGCGACUCUUUCUCAUGAAAUAUCAUUCUCGUUCGCGGACACGUGCGCUGCCCUUCCUACCUAUGCACACCCUCACUUACACAUUCUAACUUGUACCUCGUCACGCGCCAGAUUGGUGCGCAAAAGACUAGCCCGUUGCAACCGCAUAUCGUCCGCUUAUGUAACUCUUAUCUCGUAAGUGUCGCAACAAUUGGUCCAAUUUGUUGCAAGUGCCAAAUGGAGCGAGCGCCGGCCCGUGCGCCCAUUCACAAAUGUCGGCAGGAUGAAAAUGAAACGUCGGUCAUGUCCUUCGUUGGAGGACGCAUGUCGCCUUCAGGCGAUGCUCGAUCGCCUUGCGGAAUAAGAGACAACACGUUACAGUGCAGUGCGGUGCGGUGCGAUGCGACGCGACGUAAAGUGGCAUGGCGUGCGAUGGUAUGGUCUUUAACCAUCAUGGCUCGAAGAAAGAAAGGAGGAGGAGAAGACCUGUUCUGUAUUCCGCAUCUCAAAUGAAUUAUGGGCGACGAGGUGCCGUGGUGCGGAAAGAAAACACGAUCUCUCGUUACGCGUGGCUAAAGAUCCGGGAGGCACGGUGGAUAAGGACGAGCGGGAGGAACAAGAAACAAAGGACACGUAGGAGGAAUGGUUCGGGUGGAUUUUUGCGAUGGGAAUGGCGGAUGUCGAUGGUUUUGCCUGCCUUUCCGCGACGUUCAGCAGCGAAGCAACCAACCAGUCAGCCAACCAACCAACCAACCGGUAGUCGACUCUGUAAUAACCGGCGCGAUAAUCGUUCAGUUUCCGUAAUCAUCGUCCUCAUCGAUCCGCCGAUGCGGCGACGGUGGUAGCGAUGGUAUCGAUUGACGGGAUACCACGAAGACGGUCUGUUUUGAGGAAGCGGAUCGAACGAUCGGCAUUUCUUCUGACCUUUUGGUAAGUAUCGACGUGCGACCAGUUCCGUGGAAACACUUGUUUUACACUUUUAUCGGAUCAGAAUAAUUCACAGAAUAUUUUCGCGAUGCAUGAUUGGACAAGAAGUACACUUUCAGAUGAAAUACCGACAGCCAUGGUGGAUUGUGACAUACAUUUGCGGAUACGUAUAUAUCACGGUAGGCAUACGUCGCAUACAGAAAACGAGAUACAAAUCUCUCGAAUUAUCAAUUACACGGAUGAUCAAUUCGUUGGAAUGCGAACCCAUGGAAAUCGUCGAUGCUUAAAUCGACAUUUCGGUACAUUAGGUCAAUUAUAUAUUAUAGGAAUUCUGAGAGUUAACUGUACGUACAAAUAUUCCAACUAUUUUCUAACUGUAAGUUUGAUUUUCGCAUGUCUUUUGUGUUUGAUUUGGUAUCAAUCAAUUCCACUUGUUAAUGCUGUAACAAUAACAGAGAAUAUAACGGUUUCGUGGAAGUUUGC